rnacentral:tRNA from 1 species
CGAGCAGUAGCUCAGUGGUAGAGGUCCCGCUUCGUAUGUGGGAAGACCUGGGAUCGAUUCCAGGCUGCUUGC